rnacentral:sRNA from 1 species
GUCAGAGAGCAUAAAUAAACGGAGUAAUCUGUAGUUUAUGUGAACCAAACUACUCAAAACAUGAGUAAACGUUAUCUAGGUCAUAACACCUUGGGAUUCGCUAGUCCCCUGCCAUGUUGCUACUUAUUAAACAAUCCGCAAGGAUAGUGUAUUUAGCAUAACAAGCUCAGAUAACAAGGUUGAAGCAAACAUUACCCUGAAAAGG